GAUGAACGCUGGCGGCGUGCUUAACACAUGCAAGUCGAACGGAAAGGCCCAAGCUUGCUUGGGUACUCGAGUGGCGAACGGGUGAGUAACACGUGGGUGAUCUGCCCUGCACUUCGGGAUAAGCCUGGGAAACUGGGUCUAAUACCGGAUAGGACGAUGGUUUGGAUGCCAUUGUGUAAAGUUUUUUCGGUGUGGGAUGAGCUCGCGGCCUAUCAGCUUGUUGGUGGGGUAAUGGCCUACCAAGGCGUCGACGGGUAGCCGGUCAGAGAGGGUGUACGGCCACAUUGGGACUGAGAUACGGCCCAGACUCCUACGGGAGGCAGCAGUGGGGAAUAUUGCACAAUGGGCGCAAGCCUGAUGCAGCGACGCCGCGUGGGGGAUGACGGACUUCGGGUUGUAAACUCCUUUCGCUAGGGACGAAGCGUUUUGUGACGGUACCUGGAGAAGAAGCACCGGCUAACUACGUG
rnacentral:rRNA from 1 species